UUUCUCCAAUUCGUAUU
rnacentral:sRNA from 1 species